GAACAGAUGAUUUUCUUGACAGCCCUGUCAGCAACCUUCCCCAAAUAAUUUCUAGCUAUCACUGCAAUGGAUGAGCAAAGAGAAUCAUUUGUUCGAGCAACAUCACAGUUAAAUUUAAGAGUACCUCCAAGAGAAAGAAGCUAAUGCCAAGUUGUAAAUGAUCCUCCCCUUUCAACAGGAUCCGAUGGAGGAGAAAGAUCCAAUAACUGCAUAAAAUUCAUUAAGGGAUUCGGAUAUCUUGCGAGCAGUAUAACUUAGAUUUCGCUGAAUAUGUUCAAAAAGAGCUUUGUUCCUUGCUUUCCAAAUCCACCGGUAAGAAAAGGCUGAGAUAACCAGGAGGUCUUGAUUCCAUCUUCCUUCGAUCACUUGAGUAACUAAACCCGACUACAAUCUGCCAAUAGAAGUGAAGCCAAUAGAGUUUGGUUUAAACCUAGUGGGAUUGAUAAACCAAG
rnacentral:misc_RNA from 1 species